rnacentral:rRNA from 1 species
AAUAGAUACCCGGGUAGUCCACGCCGUAAACGGUGGGCACUAGGUGUGGGCGACAUUCCACGUCGUCCGUGCCGCAGCUAACGCAUUAAGUGCCCCGCCUGGGGAGUACGGCCGCAAGGCUAAAACUCAAAGGAAUUGACGGGGGCCCGCACAAGCGGCGGAGCAUGUGGCUUAAUUCGACGCAACGCGAAGAACCUUACCAAGGCUUGACAUACACCGGAAACGUCCAGAGAUGGGCGCCCCCUUGUGGUCGGUGUACAGGUGGUGCAUGGCUGUCGUCAGCUCGUGUCGUGAGAUGCUGGGUUAAGUCCCGCAACGAGCGCAACCCUUGUCCCGUGUUGCCAGCAGGCCCUUGUGGUGCUGGGGACUCACGGGAGACCGCCGGGGUCAACUCGGAGGAAGGUGGGGACGACGUCGAAGUCAUCAUGCCCCUUAUGUCUUGGGCUGCACACGUGCUACAAUGGCCGGUACAAUGAGCUGCGAUACCGCGAGGUGGAGCGAAUCUCAAAAAAGCCGGUCUCAGUUCGGAUUGGGGU